AUUGAACGCUGGCGGCAUGCCUUACACAUGCAAGUCGAACGGCAGCGGGGGAGAAGCUUGCUUUUCCUGCCGGCGAGUGGCGAACGGGUGAGUAAUACAUCGGAACGUGCCCUGUAGUGGGGGAUAACUAGUCGAAAGAUUAGCUAAUACCGCAUACGACCUGAGGGUGAAAGUGGGGGACCGCAAGGCCUCAUGCUAUAGGAGCGGCCGAUGUCUGAUUAGCUAGUUGGCGGGGUAAAGGCCUACCAAGGCGACGAUCAGUAGCUGGUCUGAGAGGACGAUCAGCCACACUGGGACUGAGACACGGCCCAGACUCCUACGGGAGGCAGCAGUGGGGAAUUUUGGACAAUGGGCGAAAGCCUGUUCCAGCAAUGCCGCGUGUGUGAAGAAGGCCUUCGGGUUGUAAAGCACUUUUGUCCGGAAAGAAAUGGCUCUGGUUAAUACCUGGGGUCGAUGACGGUACCGGAAGAAUAAGGACCGGCUAACUACGUGCCAGCAGCCGCCGUAA
rnacentral:rRNA from 1 species